CUGUUCUGCCCCACAGGUGUUGUUCACAGGGCCGCCUACAACAGAAAUUCAUUCACCUGGUACUUUUCUCUGUACCUUGCCCCAGUGACAGAUGAGGAUUCUAACCUAAAAGAGAGUGCAGAUCCCCACUGAGCAGCUGGCCCACAGUGUCCCAACUGACUCGCCUCUGGACACUGCAAGUUCCAGGCACAUAAACCCAGUCGCUGUCUUGUGACAUUUGCAAACACAGUUGUCAAUAUUGUGGCAUCUGAUGGGGAAUCACUAAGUAACUGCAUGAAACUCUUUUAUCUACCAAGCACUUUAUUUAAUCUGCCCAUUCUAUCUCCAUUACCAAUGUCAUGGCUGUGCUCAUUUCCUAAUGAGUAAACAGAGAGCCAGAAAGAAAUUAAUUUUUCAAGUAUAGGUGGCAAGUAAGCACAGGAACGUUGGCAUUUCAAAAAUAAUAUUCACUGCAUUAUCUCAGAUAACAUCUCAUUUAAAAUGAGUAUUUCUUUGUACCAUAUAAAUGUUAAAAUGGUUUAUAGUACAAAUCAUAGUAAGAAUAUAGUCUUACAUAAUUUUUGUCUGUGUCCUCUCUCUUUCUUCUCUGAUACCAAUGAUCUUCAUUUUACCCCACUGGCCAAGACCCAGGCCGAUCAUGUCCAUAAAGGACAAGGCAAAUGGUUUCCCUGCAUUCAUGCCUUAUUGAAAUUUGUCUGACUGUUGGCCACUUUUAGGGAAGAAGACAAGUGUGUUGGAGGUGACCUUUUUGUUACCUGAUUUGAGAUACACUGUUGUUGGAUAGUAAUGACUUCCUUUCUUAUCUCCUUAGACAGUUAGUAGCUUUGUCUGUUGGUUCAGAGAAUUCGAAUUUGAAGAUGACUUUUUCUGGAGUACUGGGACAGAACACAGGGCCCUGUUCAAGUCAGGGAAGCCCUCGACCAUGAGCGAUAUGCCCAGUCCCAGGAUCUAUGCCGUACUUAUAUCUGUUCCUCGAGUAAAUUCCGAAAACAUGUAGGAUUUUUACCCUAAUUCCAUCUGUAUAAAAUGCAGAAUGUAACUGUUAAAAUAGCCCAACAACCAGAGCUAUCAGUUGACAAUCCAUAGUUCAUGGAUAGGUUUCAUGGGAAUUAAUAUAAACUUUGUGUAGUCUGACUCUGUUCUAAUUAUAUUCCUGAUUUUUAAAUUUGAGAGUCAUGUGAGAAUUCAAUUAUAGCCUUUUUUGCCUUUAAUUAACAGAGAUUCACUGUCACCUGCAGUCUUAUGUUGCUUGUUAAUUAUUUCCAGUACGUUCUAAAGACAUUUUCGUGAUGUGUCCCCAGUCAACUGUGGGAAGCACUUACACCUGCUUGUGUCUCUUACUUCCAGGGUGUGCAAGGAGCCCUGAGCCGGUAAGUGUACUUUCCGCUCCAGUGAGGGAGCGGGGGAGGCGGAGAGGGCUGGUGUGGCCAUGCUGACAUUUCCAGGUUCUCUGCUCUUCUCAGAAGUAAGGCUGUGAUGCCGCUGGAACCAGAGACCAUCCCCAUGGAGCUGAAGACCCCAUGUCGCAUCCCUGGCAUGCGGGAAAUGUUGAGGAGAUUCCAAGGUGGGUGGAGCCCUGGAGCCCGGGAACUGAUGCUGAGAGUGUGGGGCUUACUGCUGCCCUUACUGCCCUGGCCUGUGGCCACAGCAGAGCAGCCACAGCAGAGCCUCAGGUCUCUGAGACUCACUGUGUGAGUGUGCUCUCAUAUGCGAGUGAACUCUCAGGGUGUCGUGGCCUCUCACCUGGGGCCCAGCCUGGCAGACCUCCAGCUCCUUCCCGGGUACAAUGCGUCAGCCCUGCCCAGCAGAACAUGUGGGUGUCUCCCUCUAGGAGUCGAUCAGUUCUCCAGGGUUGCCCCGCUGGCUCCCACUCACUCUAUUCUGACCCUGUCCACCUGCAGGCAUCAUCGAAUCCCACAGGUUGAGGGCCUGGUCCUGCAAAGCUGUGCCCUGCUUCAGGAGCAAGGAACAAGCAGGCUGUGGCUUGUGCCUCUGACCAGCCAACUGCAAAGCAGCUUUCCCAGGACCCGCUCUAUGAGCGCGGUUUGUUUGCUAGAGCAGCCCCCAGAACUCAGACCCUACUCACACUUGGUCAGUUAUUGUACAGGGUGUUGCAGAGGAUGGGGACCAACAGCCGGGUGGAGGAAACCAAUAGGGUUGGUGUGGGGAGGGGCAACACGCCCUCUCUGGGUGCUCCUUGCAGGAUCUCCUUGUGUGCCGCCACUGGCAAGCUCUGUCUUUGGGUUUAUGGAGGCUUCAUUCAGCAGGCAUGACCAGUGACACCACUGGCCACUGCUGGCCCCUGGAGCUUCAGCCCCUACUCUCCUCCCAGAGGUAGGGGGAUGUUGGACUGAAGGUUCUAUCCCUUUAAUCCCAAGGGGUUUCUCUGGAAACCAGACCCAUCCUGAGGUCAUCUAGGCCUCCAAGCACCAGCCAUCUCACUAGCAUGCAAAAGAGUCCCUUGUCUCAGGACUUUUGGGAACUGGUGUGUCAGGACCUAGGACAUAGACCAAAAAUAUACUGCACUCUCUCACCAUGACUCAUGCACUGCCCUUGGCCUUCCUGAGGAUUUCAGUGUUGGGGUGAGUCUGGCUGUGAAGGGGUGGAACAGUGCACCUGCCUGCAGGAAGGGGGAGGGGACAUUUGUGCACAAUCCGAGCUGAUGCCAGUCAGGGACACCCAGAGGGUCUGCAUGAAAUGGCUUUCAUGUUGUUCUGUAAAAUGGUGACGAUUCAAUAUUUUUACUAUUUCCUUUUAAAAUCUACUUUGCAC
rnacentral:lncRNA from 1 species